AGCUCCAAUAGCGUAUAUUAAAGUUGUUGCAGUUAAAAAGCUCGUAGUUGGAUUUCUGGUACAGUGCGCUUGGUCCGCCCCGUUUUAGGUGUGUGAGUACCGAUGCGCGCUUACCAUCCUUCUGGGGAGUACGUCUACCCUUCACUGGGCCGGGCGUACGACCUAGAUCGUUUACUUUGAAAAAAUUAGAGUGUUUAAAGCAGGCAUUUUGCUCUGAAUACAUUAGCAUGGAAUAAUAAGAUAGGACUUUGGUUCUAUUUUGUUGGUUUCUAGGACUGAAGUAAUGAUUGAUAGGGACAGUUGGGGGUGCUAGUAUUCAACGGCCAGAGGUGAAAUUCUUGGAUUCGUUGAAGACUAACUUAUGCGAAAGCAUUCACCAAGGAUGUCUUCU
rnacentral:rRNA from 1 species